GCCAUUGUAGAUCCUCACAUCAGGGUGGACAGCGGCUACAAGAUUCACAAUGAGAUUCGCUCCAAAAACUUUUAUGUCAAAAACAAAGAUGGAGGAGACUAUGAAGGCUGGUGUUGGCCAGGUAAUUCGGGCUAUCCAGACUUCACUAACCCUGAGAUGAGAGCCUGGUGGGCCAGCCAGUUUGCAUAUGACCAGUAUGAGGGUUCCAUGGAGAAUCAGUACAUCUGGAAUGACAUGAACGAGCCGUCUGUGUUUAAUGGGCCUGAGGUCACCAUGCACAAAGAUGCACUUCAUGGUGUCUGGGAGCACAGAGAUGUUCACAACCUUUAUGGGCUC